rnacentral:rRNA from 1 species
GUAAGGAAUAUUGGUCAAUGGGCGGAAGCCUGAACCAGCCAUGCCGCGUGCAGGACGACGGCCCUACGGGUUGUAAACUGCUUUUGCCCGGGAAUAACCCCCCGCUCUUGAGCGGGGCUGAACGUACCGGGAGAAUAAGGAUCGGCUAACUCCGUGCCAGCAGCCGCGGUAAUACGGAGGAUCCGAGCGUUAUCCGGAUUUAUUGGGUUUAAAGGGUGCGUAGGCGGCCUGUUAAGUCAGGGGUGAAAUACGGCAGCUCAACUGUCGCAGUGCCCUUGAUACUGACGGGCUUGAAUACCGGUGAAGGCGGCGGAAUGAGACAAGUAGCGGUGAAAUGCAUAGAUAUGUCUCAGAACCCCGAUUGCGAAGGCAGCUGCCUAACCGGCGAUUGACGCUGAUGCACGAAAGCGUGGGGAUCGAACAGGAUUAGAAACCCCUGUAGUCC